GAUGAACGCUGGCGGCGUGCCUAAUACAUGCAAGUCGAGCGAACGGACGAGAAGCUUGCUUCUCUGAUGUUAGCGGCGGACGGGUGAGUAACACGUGGAUAACCUACCUAUAAGACUGGGAUAACUUCGGGAAACCGGAGCUAAUACCGGAUAAUAUUUUGAACCGCAUGGUUCAAAAGUGAAAGACGGUCUUGCUGUCACUUAUAGAUGGAUCCGCGCUGCAUUAGCUAGUUGGUAAGUUAACGGCUUACCAAGGCAACGAUGCAUAGCCGACCUGAGAGGGUGAUCGGCCACACUGGAACUGAGACACGGUCCAGACUACUACGGGAGGCAGCAGUAGGGAAUCUGCCGCAAUGGGCGAAAGCCUGACGGAGCAACGCCGCGUGAGUGAUGAAGGUCUUCGGAUCGUAAAACUCUGUUAUUAGGGAAGAACAUAUGUGUAAGUAACUGUGCACAUCUUGACGGUACCUAAUCAGAAAGCCACGGCUAACUACGUG
rnacentral:rRNA from 1 species